AGAACGAACGCUGGCGGCGUGUUUAAGACAUGCAAGUCGCACGGAAUCAUUUGAGUAGUAAUACAAAAAUGGUUUAGUGGCGCACGGGUGAGUAACACGUGAAUUACAUGCCCUUCAGUGGGGAAUAGCCCAGGGAAACUUGGAUUAAUACCCCAUGGUCUCGCAAGAGUAAAGGUGGCCGCAAGGCUGCCGCUGGAGGAUUGGUUCGCGCCCUAUCAGCUUGUUGGUGAGGUAACGGCUCACCAAGGCUACGACGGGUACCUGGUCUGAGAGGACGAUCAGGCACACUGGAACUGAGACACGGUCCAGACACCUACGGGUGGCAGCAGUCGAGAAUAAUUCACAAUGGGGGCAACCCUGAUGGUGCAACGCCGCGUGGAGGAUGACGGUCUUCGGAUUGUAAACUCCUGUCAUCCGGAGAAAGACCUGGACCGUUAAUAGCGGACAGGUUGAGUAGUAACCGGAAGAGGAAGGACGGCUAACGUCGUAGCCAGCAGCCGACGGUAAUCGUAGA
rnacentral:rRNA from 1 species